UACAGAGGUCCCAAGCGUUGUUCGGAUUCACUGGGCGUAAAGGGUGCGUAGGUGGCGUGGUAAGUCUGAUGUGAAAUCUCCGAGCUUAACUCGGAAAUGGCAUUGGAUACUAUCAAGCUUGAGGGUUGGAGGGGGGACUGGAAUACUUGGUGUAGCAGUGAAAUGCGUAGAUAUCAAGUGGAACACCAGUGGCGAAGGCGAGUCCCUGGACAACUCCUGACACUGAGGCACGAAAGCUAGGGGAGCAAACAGG
rnacentral:rRNA from 1 species